ensembl:lncRNA
GGGCAGGCGCACUGAUGGAAGUUGUCCAUUAGAGGUCACUGAAGCUCCGCCAGUGAAGAAGUCUGAGCCCUGUCCUGCUGGGUUGGCUAUCGCUGCUUGCUUUUUUCUGCUGAGCAAAGGCCUCUUGCCCAAACUUCUCUUUCAAAAGCAGCCUCUUAAAGUAUAAACUAGUGCAGGACGCUGCUGCCGUCUCCCUGCCUGUGGCACUGGUGGUCAGGCUUGAGGCCCUUUGUCUCGUCCCCUUCUCCUGACAUCAGCUGGAAGAGACGGAGAUUAAAACAAGGCAUUACAAAAUGGAAAUAAGGGACGAAUUAUUUCCCAUGUAAGUUCUUACAUAACAUCAGUAUAAAGUAGCCACGUUUUGCCUGUUUAUUUUUUUCCUUUUAUCAUGUUCAGAUUUAAACGCAGCCUUAAUCCUGUAUAUCCUGCUUCGAAAAGCUUAGAUCUGUAAUGUGUUGUGCAGCAGUCUUUAAAAGGCGUUAUCCAUUAAAAAGUGUGUGGUAGCCUUAAGUUAACAAUGCAGAUUUCAAUCCUUGAUUUUGUACUUGAUAGUUUCGCUUGGAUAAUUUUCUUCAUUUCAGACAAAGUAGAAACAGUGAAGGCUGAUUAAGGAAAAAUGAAGAAAAAAUAAGAAAGAAAGAAACAACCCAUCAUUUAUUAUCUUAUUAGGUUAAAUAUGAAGUAGUAAUACAGUUUUAUGGGCAAAUUCACAAAAACACUGAACAGUAUAAAAUAAAGCACACCAACAGGCUGCCCAGAGAGGCUGUGGAUGCUCCGUCGCUGGAGGUGUUUGUGAUCAGGUUGGAUGGGGUCCUGGGCAGCCUGGUCGAGUACCAGAUCUGGAGGUUGGUGGCAGGGGGGUCGGAACUUGGUGAUCCUUGGGGUCCCUUCCAACCCAAGCCAUUCUAUGAUUCUAUGAUCCCAUAAUGGCAAGUUAAAUCCUAUGAAUUUCUCCUGUAUUCAGAAUAUUUAUCAUGCAGGGGGUGGGUGUGACUUGCUCUGGAGGAGGUGGGGUAGGAGAGCAUGGCCCAGCCCAUGCUCAGGUGCUCUGGAUACCAAGGCGCGCUCCUUGCUUCACCCAACAAGGGGCAACAAGUGCACAGAGCAGUAGUUACCAUUUCCCCCCUCCUUCCCUGUUCUCUUUCUGAUGGUCUGUUUCAAGAGAGCAGUGAGCUGGCCCAAAGGGCAAAGCUGAUUUUGAUACUCUGGAUGAGCAGGAGAUGAAGAAAGGCACAGGCAUGCUUAAGGGAAAGAGCAGUAAAAGAGAAAUAUAAUGCCAGAAGUGAGCCUGCCUUUCUGUGCUCUGGGUGGGGGUUUCUGCCAUGCAGUCACGUAAGCACAGUGGGUGUUUGCUUAGACUGAAGGAUCCGUUCGUAUCUUUAUAAUCUCUUCUGGAGCUUGUUAGAACAGUGCCUAGCUUGAGAUGAUGAACGCUUUUCUUGAAUGGAGAAAGUAUGGGGUACAGAAUCUAUAAUUAAAGCAACUAAAGAGAGCCGUAAAGUUAGAAAUGAUGAUAAGCUUAAAAAUAAUUAGUGACAAGUACCAAUUUAAUAGUUGUUUAAAAGAUCUUCUUCCUGCUUCAAAGGAGACGUGUUACAAAGAAGAAUGCACAUCUCUGGAACGUGCCACUGCAUAUUCCCUGUACAAAAGUCCAAAAGAAGUGAGGACACGACCUGUUGAGUGGCAGAAGCACUGCGAGAUCAUAAUACGUAGCUGCUGGUGGACAGAAAGAAGGAUGAGUCAGGUGUGCAUUGUUUCCACUCGGAGAGGGCUGUCAUACGGGUGUGCCACUGCCUGCUGCUGAAGGAAAGUGUCCCAGUUUUCAACAUGAGCACUUGGUCUGAAUAAUCGCACGUGGCUUCUAUUGAGGAGAAGUAACACUGAUCCCAGUAGGAAAGGCAGAAGUGACUAACACUGAAACAGAAGAGGAGAAAAAAGGAUACAAAUAACAGACCUUUACAGUUCCACUCCGGGGAAGGCUCUAGUUAUGAUACAAAUGAUACAUUUGUGUGUCUGUGACAGUGAAUUAAAAAUGAGAGGGAUAAGCUUGCUGUUGAAAUGAGACUGCACUGCGGUGCUGCUCAUUAGCUCCCACAUGAAGCUGGCAGUCCUCCGAACAACCUUGCUUACCCCUAAAGGGGUGAGUGGCUUCUUCACCAGUUAACACUGGAAGCAGAGGGGCCUCCCGGAACAUGUGGUGUGGAUUUGGCAGUGUGAGCACUGUCCUGAGGCAGGCAGCAGGUAUCGCACGUGGCCGUGUGUCUCACAGAAUCACAGGGGUUGGAAGAGACCUUGAGAGAUCAUCAAGACCAACCCCAUGGCUAAGGCAAGUUCUCUACAGUAGGUCACACAGGCAGGUGUCCAGAUGAGUCUUAAAUAUCUGCGUAGAAAGAGACUCUACAACCUCUCUGGGCAGCCUGUUCUAGUGCUCUGUCACCAUGUUUGUAUGGAACUUCCUAUAUUCGAGUUUUAGGCCGUUACUUCCUCCUCCCUCCCCUCUUCCUGGCUCCUUUUCGUCUACUGGGAAAAGUACAGGUAGGCAGAUAAUGCAAGUCAUUGGCAAGUUAUACUGAUGUUACCAGUGGAAUGAGGAAAGGUUGAGCCACUUUUCCUCUGCAGACUGCUCUCGGUUAAUGUGCUCAUCAGCCCCAAUGGCCGGCUUUUUAGAUGCUCCUGAUCAGCUGUUUCCUUUCUUUUAGCCCACAGAAUAGUUCCUUUUCAAAGCAAACUAAAGUUGCCCUCUUAUCUUCGGGAAUCUCUCUCGGCCAUCCUGAUAAAAUGGCAAUGCUAAAGAAGUUCCAGCCAUAAAGGACUGCCCAUUUGGGGCCUAAAAACUCCUUGGGCUUCUCUGCAGCCUUUCUAUGAAUUUCUUUCAAAAACACUGUUUUUUUUUUUGCCAGGAUCAGUUCCGCAUUUACUCGUGUAUAAUUUUCUAAGCUUUGUUUUGUAUUUGUUAGCUUAGUCUUCCUGAGAACUGCUAAGCUCCAGUGCAGAGGAUAUAUCAUUCCUUAAAUUUAAAAAAUUCUGUUGAGAGCCCUCUUGUACAAAACAGCAGAGGAAAGGCUGAUCCAUGUUCUACGUCUUGCCAUUACUUGUUCUACUCAGUCACAUGUUUCUCUUCUACUGUCCUUGAUGCAGCUAUCUCUGAAUCUUUACAAAUCUCUACCAUAUUUAAUUAACACAUAAAUGAAGGAUGCUCUAGGGUUGAGGGCACGGAAAUCACUUUGUGUUGCUGUUUCCAAAUGCCACUGACCUG